UACAAUGUUUAAUUGGACGGCGAAUGA
rnacentral:sRNA from 1 species